rnacentral:rRNA from 1 species
UAGGGAAUUUUCCGCAAUGGGCGAAAGCCUGACGGAGCAACGCCGCGUGAGUGAAGACGGUUUUCGGAUUGUAAAGCUCUGUUCUGUGGGAAGAAGACAGUGACGGUACCAUAGGAGAAAGCCCCGGCUAACUACGUGCCAGCAGCCGCGGUAAUACGUAGGGGGCAAGCGUUGUCCGGAAUUAUUGGGCGUAAAGCGCGCGCAGGCGGUUAAUUAAGUCAGAUGUGAAAGGCUACGGCUCAACCGUAGAGUUGCAUUUGAAACUGGUUAACUUGAGUGCAGGAGAGGUGAGUGGAAUUCCCGGUGUAGCGGUGGAAUGCGUAGAGAUCGGGAGGAACACCAGUGGCGAAGGCGGCUCACUGGCCUGCAACUGACGCUGAGGCGCGAAAGCGUGGGGAGCGAACA